rnacentral:rRNA from 1 species
GACGAGGGAUCCUAGCGUUGUUCGGAAUCAUUGGGCGUAAAGAGUAUGUAGGCGGCCUUGUAAGUCAGUUGUGAAAGCCCCGGGCUCAACCCGGGAAGUGCAAUUGAUACUGCUUGGCUUGAAUGUGGAGGAGGGCAGUAGAAUUCCAGGUGUAGUGGUGAAAUACGUAGAUAUCUGGAGGAAUACCGGUGGCGAAGGCGGCUGCCUGGUCCUACAUUGACGCUGAGAUACGAAAGCGUGGGGAGCAAACAGG